rnacentral:rRNA from 1 species
UACGUAGGGGCCGAGCGUUGUCCGGAGUUAUUGGGCGUAAAGCGCGCGCAGGCGGCCUCGCGCGCCCGACGUGAAAGCCCCCGGCUUAACCGGGGAGGGUCGUUGGGGACGGCGGGGCUUGAGGGCGGGAGAGGGUGGUGGAAUUCCCGGUGUAGUGGUGAAAUGCGUAGAUAUCUGGAGGAACACCGGUGGCGAAGGCGCAUCCUGGACCGGCAUUGACGCUGAGGCGCGAAAGCCAGGGGAGCAAACGGG